rnacentral:rRNA from 1 species
GAUGAACGCUGGCGGCGUGCCUAAUACAUGCCAGUCGAGCGAACAGAUGAGGAGCUUGCUCCUCUGACGUUAGCGGCGGACGGGUGAGUAACGCGUGGAUAACCUACCUAUAAGACUGGGAUAACUUCGGGAAACCGGAGCUAAUACCGGAUAAUAUAUUGAACCGCAUGGUUCAAUAGUGGAAGACGGUUUUGCUGUCACUUAUAGAUGGAUCCGCGCCGCAUUAGCUAGUUGGUAAGGUAACGGCUUACCAAGGCAACGAUGCGUAGCCGACCUGAGAGGGUGAUCGGCCACACUGGAACUGAGACACGGUCCAGACUCCUACGGGAGGCAGCAGUAGGGAAUCUUCCGCAAUGGGCGAAAGCCUGACGGAGCAACGCCGCGUGAGUGAUGAAGGUCUUCGGAUCGUAAAACUCUGUUAUUAGGGAAGAACAAAUGUGUAAGUAACUAUGCACGUCUUGACGGUACCUAAUCAGAAAGCCACGGCUAACUACGUG